rnacentral:tRNA from 2 species
GCGCCUGUAGCUCAACUGGACAGAGCAGCGGGUUUCUACCCCGCCGGUUGGGGGUUCGAGUCCCUCCAGGCGUG